GGUACGAGAAUUAGCUCUGGCGCAGACUUCCAUCAAGAGCCACCACUAGCAAGCGUGCCACUUACUUUUAACAAAAACAAAGAAAAAAACAGCAAAAAAAAACCAAAACAAAACAAAACAAGAGCUAACGAAACAAGAACAACAACAACAAAACAAACAUGGAAAAAAUGUCUAGAAUGUUAAUUUUUGUGGCAGCCAUCACGCUUGCUUUGGUAUGUGUUGCAAACACCAAAGUUGUAUCAAAAACUGUAGACCCAAAAGCAAGAAUCACAAAAGUCCACGUGCACAAGUCGUCUGAAGUAACAUCCACCGGAAGCCAACAUACCAGGAAAUUAACAACAGACAAAACAACCAUCGUCACAGAUCAUAGUUCACAGAGCACAGACGUAAAAACCAGCAGCCAGUCUCAUGACACAACUUCAUCUGGUAGACACACUACACAAACUGCU
rnacentral:lncRNA from 1 species